UACGGAGGAUCCGAGCGUUAUCCGGAUUUAUUGGGUUUAAAGGGUGCGUAGGCGGCCUUGUAAGUCAGCGGUGAAAUUUUGCAGCUUAACUGUAAAAGUGCCGUUGAUACUGUGAGGCUAGGAUUUGGCUGCUGUGGGUGGAAUGUGUGGUGUAGCGGUGAAAUGCUUAGAGAUCACACAGAAUAUCGAUUGCGAAGGCAGCUCACAAAGCCAAGAUUGACGCUGAGGCACGAAAGUGUGGGGAUCAAACAGGA
rnacentral:rRNA from 1 species